ACUUGCUGUGGUAUUUUGAAUAUACAAAGUAUUGAAAUAAGAUUUUAAUUGAAUGCUAAGAGAACGGAAGUCCAGAAAAAAACUUUUUUUAAAUUAAAAAUUGAAGUUUUUUUAAUUUGUGCAGAAACAAUUAUUUAUAUUAAAGACAAGAAGACCCUAUGAAUUUAUUAAAUUUUUAUUUAAUAUGUAAUUACUAUUAGAAAAAUUUUGGCUGGGGCGGCUAGAAAAUAUUAUAAACUUUUUAAAAAUAAAAUGAUCCAUUAUUAAUGAUUUUAUGUUAAAUACUCUAGGGAUAACAGCGUUAUAUUUUUUGAUAGAUCAU
rnacentral:rRNA from 1 species